rnacentral:rRNA from 1 species
GAUGAACGCUGGCGGCGUGCCUAAUACAUGCAAGUCGAGCGAACAGACGAGGAGCUUGCUCCUCUGACGUUAGCGGCGGACGGGUGAGUAACACGUGGAUAACCUACCUAUAAGACUGGUAUAACUUCGGGAAACCGGAGCUAAUACCGUAUAAUAUAUUGAACCGCAUGGUUCAAUAGUGAAAGACGGUUUUGCUGUCACUUCUCGAUGGAUCCGCGCCGCAUUAGCUAGUUGGUAAGGUAACGGCUUACCAAGGCAACGAGGCGUAGACGACCUGAGAGGGUGAUCGGCCACACGGGAACUGAGACGCGGACAAGACGCCUAAGGGAGGCAGCAGUAGGGAAUCUUCCGCAAUGGGCGAAAGCAUGACGGAGCAAGGCCGAGUGAGUGAUGAAGGUCUUCGGAUCGUAAAACUCUGUUAUGAGGGAAGAACAAAUGUGUAAGUAACUAUGCACGUCUUGACGGUACCUAAUCAGAAAGCCACGGCUAACUACGUG